CCCUUAGAUGUUCUGGGCCGCACGCGCGCUACACUGAUGAAUGCAACGAGCUCUACCCUUGACCGAAGGGCCCGGGUAAACUUGUGAAACUUCAUCGUGAUGGGGAUAGAUUAUUGCAAUUAUUAAUCUUCAACGAGGAAUUCCUAGUAAGCGCGAGUCAUCAGCUCGCGUUGAUUACGUCCCUGCCCUUUGUACACACCGCCCGUCGCUCCUACCGAUUGAAUGGUCCGGUGAAAUCUUCGGAUUGCUGACCAAGAUCCAGCAAUGGAGCUUGGUUGCGAGAAGUUGAUUAAACCUUAUUAUUUAGAGGAAGGAGAAGUCGUAACA
rnacentral:rRNA from 1 species